rnacentral:rRNA from 1 species
CGAUUAAGCCAUGCGAGUCGAAUGUAGCAAUACAUGGCGAACUGCUCAGUAACACGUGGACAACCUGCCCUUAGGACGGGGAUAAACCCGGGAAACUGGGUAUAAUACCCGAUAGGUCUCGAUUGCUGGAAUGCAUCGAGAUUUAAAGCUCCGGCGCCUAAGGAUGGGUCUGCGGCCUAUCAGGUAGUAGUGGGUGUAGCGUACCUACUAGCCUACAACGGGUACGGGUUGUGAGAGCAAGAGCCCGGAGAUGGAUUCUGAGACACGAAUCCAGGCCCUACGGGGUGCAGCAGGCGCGAAAACUUUACAAUGCUGGCAACAGCGAUAAGGGAACCUCGAGUGCCAGGUUACAAAUCUGGCUGUCGAGAUGCCUAAAAAGCAUUUCAUAGCAAGGGCCGGGCAAGACCGGUGCCAGCCGCCGCGGUAACACCGGCGGCUCGAGUGGUAACCGUUAUUAUUGGGUCUAAAGGGUCUGUAGCCGGCCGGAUAAGUCUCUUGAGAAAUCUGGCAGCUUAACUGUCAGGCUUUCAGGAGAUACUGUCUGGCUCGAGGCCGGGAGAGGUGAGAGGUACUUCAGGGGUAGGGGUGAAAUCUUGUAAUCCUUGAAGGACCACCAGUGGCGAAGGCGUCUCACCAGAACGGACCUGACGGCAAGGGACGAAAGCUAGGGGCACGAACCGGAUUAGAUACCCGGGUAGUCCUAGCCGUAAACGAUACUCGCUAGGUGUCGGCUACGGUGCGACCGUUGUCGGUGCCGUAGGGAAGCCGUGAAGCGAGCCACCUGGGAAGUACGGCCGCAAGGCUGAAACUUAAAGGAAUUGGCGGGGGAGCA